UCUUGUCUGGUAAAUGUUUAGAAUAAUGCCAUAAUUAAAUGUCUAGUUUUUAACUAUUACAUUUUAAUUACAACAUUUCUUUUAGUUGCAACGUUAUUCUAGCAUGGCAAUAAUUGUCUAUUUGACUUCCUUGUGUUUCACUAUAAAAAAGUCAUUUUUCAAAUAUAAGCCAUAAUAUAGUAAAAGUUGAUAACAUCACAAAAAAAUGAAUAAAACAUUAAAAGAGCCAUAUUGUUGGGCUAUUUGGAAUGAAAAUGAAGAUGAAGGUACCUCCGGUGUUAUUCCAUCCAAUUGGUUAGUUCCUGGAAGCCAUAUAUUUUGGCCACCUAAUAAUUAUUUUCAAGUCAAACAUGCAUUUCAUGAAAGAAGAGAUCCUGAUCAUUCAUGAAAAAAAUUUACACUAAAUAAGGUUAAGGUCAUUGGAACAUAUGAGUUCUGUAAUGAAAUGUGCAGUACAGAUGUUGGGUGGUUUUCUACAGAUGGUGAAAGUGUCUCACCAAUGAAAAAAAAAUUAAAUAAGAAAACAAAUGACAGUCAAAAUACUCUAUCAUUUUCUUCUCCACCAUCUAGAAUUCAAGUUGGCAAAAUCAAAAAGAGCCUUUUUUUCUAGCAAUGAAACUGAAAAACAAAAAAAAUGCAAACUGAAGAAAAGCAAUAUAUGGUCAGAUAAUGAAGAGGUAAAAAUCAGUCAUCUGAAUUUAAACAAUGCACAAUACUAAAUAAAUAUUAUUUCUUUUACAAAAAGAACUUUUUGUUUAAAAUACUAUUAUUGUUUUAUUUUAUUAAUAGAUUUUUUUUCAGGUUCAUUUUGAGGAGACCUCUGGAAGUUCACAAGU